rnacentral:sRNA from 1 species
GCUGGGCGUGGUGGUGUGUGCCUGUAGUCCCAGCUACUUGGGAGGCCGAGGUGGGAGGAUCACCUGAGCCCAGGAGUUCAAGGCUGCGGUGAGCCGGGAUUGUUCCACUGCACUCCAGUCUUCACCCAGACUGAGAUCUCGUCUCAAAAAAAUAAAAAGCUAGACCGGGCGUGGUGGCUCAUGCCUGCAAUCCCAGCACUUUGGGGGGCCAAGGUGGGCAGAUCACUUGAGGUCAGGAGUUCAAGAUCAGCCUGGCCAACAAGGUGAAAGCCCGUCUCU